rnacentral:rRNA from 1 species
GAUGAACGCUGGCGGCGUGCUUAACACAUGCAAGUCGAACGAAGCAAUUGGAGUGCUUGCACUUAAUUGACUGAGUGGCGGACGGGUGAGUAACGCGUGGGUAACCUGCCUCACACAGGGGGACAACAGUUGGAAACGACUGCUAAUACCGCAUAAGCGCACAGUAUCGCAUGAUACAGUGUGAAAAACUCCGGUGGUGUGAGAUGGCCUCGCGUCUGAUUAGAUAGUUGGUGGGGUAACGGCCCACCAAGGCGACGAUCAGUAGCCGGACUGAGAGGUUGACCGGCCACAUUGGGACUGAGAUACGGCCCAGACUCCUACGGGAGGCAGCAGUGGGGAAUAUUGGGCAAUGGACGCAAGUCUGACCCAGCAACGCCGCGUGAAGGAAGAAGGCUUUCGGGUUGUAAACUUCUUUUAAGUGGGAAGAGCAGAAGACGGUACCACUUGAAUAAGCCACGGCUAACUACGUG